AUUCAGUCUACCUACUGAAACGAAGCGGUACCCGUCAGUGCGAGUUAACCUUUUCAAGGUGGUCUUAUAUUUUACGGGGUGAAAACUAGAUACAUAAAGAUGAUGUAUCAAUGUGAACAGUGUGGAGGAGCUAGCUUUGAAAAGCUGAGUCAACUGAAACACCACCAACGCGUAGAAAAUCAUUGGCAGAAGUUUAACUGUGACGUGUGUGGAAAAUGGUUUACCAGAAAAACAAACCUGGAUCGUCAUAUGGAAAAACAUAGAUCUAUGAACAAUGUCCACUGUUCCGAGUGUGCUUUAGCAGACUCGACAGUCUACAACGGCAUAUGGUUGAGAAACAUCAAGUUGGGGGUGGAGCUGGAAAAAGACCUUCCGAACACACCGAAAAAGACGAUCUAGUUAAACGUCUAAGAAAAGAUGACGACCCUAGGCAAUUUUACACCAUAAACAAAAUUAAAGAGCAACGUAUGGAGAAGUUUAGAACAACUGCGGCCACAUAUAAAGUCACGUUUCAAAGUAUUGAAGUGACGGAGGACAUACAAUCAACAUUGAAGAGGCUAUUUGCUACUAUUUUUGAAGAUGUAACAAUGGGAUCAACGUCUAAAGAUUAAGUGAGGGUCACGGUUCAAAGUCGGAUCAACGUCUAAUGAUUUAGUGAGGGUCACGGUUCAAAGUCCAAUGAGCGCCACAAUGCGCGCCACAAUGCGCGCCGCAGGGAGCGCCACAAUGCGCGCCUCGGAGAUCUCCGCAGAAAAUGAAGCCAACUAUUCUCCAACACCCCUUCACCAUGAUAAUAACCCGGUUGAUCGCCAAUCUGUAAUGACACUAGCUCGACAGAUGUACCCGGGUAAUACUGAGAAAUUCCAGAAAGCCUUCGCAAAAGCGUUUUAUAUGAAUACACCUUAAUAUUAAUAAAAGACAAUAAACGGAUAGAAAA